UGCUGAGUGGACGCCCCAGGAGUUCAUGGCCUCCUAUUAUUUAGCAGAUUUGUUUUUGCAUCCUGGCUGAAGCUUCUAGUGAGAGAGCAGAACCCGCAUUAGGAUUAUAUAUGUGCCUUUGCACCGACCCGGGGGCAGAACCUAACAAAUGUGUGGGGUGAAUUGGUUUCCCAAAGGGACACUACUGAGAAGCUGGCUCACUAAGUCCCGGCCCACACUCCUGCUGCUCAUCGCUGGACUGAAGCGGCCGCAGGUCACCCUCAUGAGGAGGAAAAGGAUGAAACGCACAAAAGUUGCAAAGGCCACGUAAGGGAACCUCAAAUCGAAUGCCCCAUUUCACUUGAGUCCUUGGUACAGAGAACACCUGAACCUGCAUUAGAUAUGGAAGACCAGGACACCACUGAAGAAUCACACUUUCAGUCAAGGCUGAAGAGAGGAACUAAAAGCCAGAGAGAACAGAAAAGGGACUCAACACUUAUUACAAAAACACGGAAUUGAGCACAGAAAACAACCCCACACAAAUUAAUCAUUUUAUUCAUACACAGUAACGUGUACAUCAUCUCUUAAAUACACAUUUAUUAUGAUUCAUUAUAUUACAAAGAGUGUGACUGUAAAUUAUUUACAUUCUGUGCCAACAUUUAGUUUAAUAACAUAAUCGAUAGCCCCGUCUCUGGUGAUUUAUUUCUGGUACAGCGCCUGAUGUUUAGAAUAACUGAGCUUGAGGAAGUAAAACAGUGGCACUCCAAAAGUGCAGGGUGGUGAUAAACCAACAGGCAGCUUCUACAUUAAACAGCUUAUGCCAAGACCAGUUUCCCCAAACGAACCAUCAGCCCAACCAGAAAAUGCCAGUUUGGGGCAAAAUAUUUCUCAUUAGCACUGGCCACUGAUAGCAGAGUCCAGCCAAUAAGCAAAGUACACACUUCAGCAAUCCUAAAUUACAACAGCGCUGCAUUAAGGAAACUGAAACAGACAUCCAGGAUCUUGUAAGAACAACUAACAGCAGUUAAAACUUCAGAACCCAUCACCCACUUGCUCAGGCUCGAGAGCCAAUUAAGGCCAUAAAACAGAUCUUUUAAGCCACCAGCUUUCAUAUCAAUGCAUACUUAUUACUGGCUAUAACCAUGAAGUAAAUUUUUAACAGUCAGUAUACAAAGAUUAAAGAAAAUAAUCCUUACAAAUACCAAUGUAAAUUUGAGUAAAACUGAGUAAAAUGGAUUCUUCCAAUGAUUUACUGCAUAGGUGGCACGCCAAUAUUGUGACCGUGUUUGUAGGCAAACAAUCGUUUGUAGAUUAAACUUAACUUGGCUAAAAUCCAGGUUGUCAUUUGGAGUUUUCAAAGAAUCUUACCAAUCAUACAGUUAAGAGUUAAUGGUGUUGUUUAAUGGAACAAGUCUACUCAACUACUACUGAAUGUGUUCCUUCUGUUUGAGAUUAAGAUCUGUUUUUAUAUAUCUGGUUAAAAUGUCCAGUUUAGGAAUUUUCUUUCUAUUAUUCCUCACUGUUUGUAUUUUAUUUUAUUUUAUUACAUCAGGGAAACAGCAACAGUCACCGGUGACCUUCACCUUUAUGAAUAUCAUAUUUCAUUUGUUGAGUAAAAGAUGCAGUUUUGCUGUA